UUUUUAUUUUGCUCUGUUUUAUUUCUUUUUCUUCUUCUUUUUGAUUUUUUGUUUUAUUUUUGCUAUUUCUUCAUUUUUCCAUGAAUAUUAGAUUAUAAUGACUUUUCCAAUAAAAAUUUUGCUAAAGUUACUCUGUAUCUUGUGAUAAUUUAUCUCACAACCUUGGAUUAGGGACUUAGGGUCUGUGACAGAUAUUCAGGGCUGAUUUAUAACAUUAGAAUUUGAGAACAAGUAUUGGAAAGCUG
rnacentral:misc_RNA from 1 species